ACAUACGACCAUAGGGUGUGGAGAACAGGGCUUCCCGUCCGCUCAGCUGUACUUAAGCCACACGCCGGCCGGUUAGUAGUUGGGUGGGUGACCACCAGCGAAUCCCGGCUGUUGUAUGUU
rnacentral:rRNA from 1 species